rnacentral:lncRNA from 1 species
AAUAUUCUUCUUUCUUCAUGUAAAAUAUCAUCUGAUAAUAAAAUCCAUGUUGCCUCCCAAACACAUUCUGGUCGUGACAUUGAAUUGGAUAAUAGUAACAUACCAAAUAAUUGCCUAAGAUAUGAUGGCAUUCCUCAAUUACUUGCCUCCUUUAUCGCAUCUAUAUACUCUUUGCCAUCAUCUAAUAAACCAAGUUCAUAACAUGCAUCUCUAAAAGUUAAAUGGUCUUUAUUGUUGAUUCUGCGUAAAUCAUCAUAACCCUUAGGUCCUUUAAUGACAUUCAACAACAUUCGAAGGUAAUAUUGCUCUCCACUUCCAGGGGGUACAAAGAAUAUUCUCCUUAUUGAAAAUGCAGAAUUUCUUCUUUUUUCCCACUUUUUGAGUUUUUUAUUCCACACAAACUUAAGAGGAAAUUCUGCAUAAGUUAAUUCUCUUGCUUCUUCAUAUGUAUUAUUUGCCUCAAACCAGCUUAAAAACUUUGAUUCCUUUACACUUGGUCUAUUGGCAACAUCAUCAAUUGGAUCAUCAUCAGAGAAAAUAAUUGUUUGUUCAUUUGGUAGAUGAAAGGAAAGUCUCUCUACCGAAGGUUCUCUAUGCUGAAUUGGGAAUUUAAAAAUUCUCCAAGCAGCUUCACACGGUGAUAUGUAUCGACAAUCAUAAUACAUUUUUAUUUCAUCAAUAGCCGAUGAGUCUUCCUCAUGCACACUUUGAGAAAAAGUUGUUGUCACACGAUCAUGACCCUUAUUAACGUACUUAAAUAAGUACUUGAUUGACCGAGAUUGAUUGCACCAUUCAACAUUUAUAUGUGCGCCAUAUUUCAACAAUAAAUAUCUAUUGUGUGGCACCACGUACCUGUUAUCCAAUUCAAUUCCUUCUUUCUGGAUAUUUCUACCAUUGUCCCUUCUUUUAUAUACAGGAUAUCCAUCUUCAUCUAUUGUGGUAUUUUGUACAAACUUCUUUGGAAAGUGUUUUGUACAUCUACCAUGACGCAUGCAAGGAGAUGAUUUUCUAACAGAACCGCACAGGCCAUGCAUCAUGAAAUUCUUCACGGCCAUAUAAUAAUUCGGAUCGACCGAUUCAUCUGGUAUUUCUGCUGAAAUGAUUUGAUCUAUGUCUCCAACAUUUGGAUAUUUAUUAUGAAGAAAGAGCAAUAUGUGUGCAUGAGGCAACCCACGCUUUUGGAAUUCUAUAGUAUAUAUCACUGCAAAAAUAAUAAUUUGAGAUUGGGUUAAUUGGUUGUAAUUUAUAUGUAAGAAAAAAGCUUUAUUAAAUUAGAUUACAAAUAUGAUAAGAAUUUAUUAAAAUAGAUUAAAUAUAUACCUGAUUUAACUGAUCCAAAAAUUUGUUUCUCUUUCAAAUCCUUUAUUAAACGAUCCAAUUUGAUUUUGAACACCCUAGAUAAAAUGUCUGGGUGAUCUUCUGGUUGCAAACCCUUGCUCUUUACAAAUCUACUUAUUUCAGGUCACUUUGGGUUGCAAGUAAAUGUGAUGAAGAGAUUUGGAUAUCCAUCCCACUUGCAGAUUGCCAUAGCAUCUUGAUAAUUUUGAAUCAUGUAUCUUGCACCCCCUGUGAAGCUGGAUGAAAGAAUUACCCUUUUACCUUGAGAGGAAGGAUUUAUCUCUCCUUGUAAAACUACAUCUUCUAAUCCUUUAUACAUAUGAGCUCGCAAUUGUUUUUGAUGAGUUCUGAUAUAUUUCAACCUAGACGAUUCAACCAUUGUAAAUCCAUCGACCAAGAAUUGUUGAAAUAAUCAUCUUGAGUUCACAAUUUUUGGUAAUUCGCCAUUCCUUUCUUGAAUUUUGUAUGCGAAAUAUUCACGCAUGCUAACAAAAUUCCUUCCUCCACUUGAUUCAUCAUUUCCAUUUAAAGGAAUGUCUUCUCUAUAACCAUCUUCACCUAAUGGAAACAAUAAAGGAUACUGAAGACCUAAAUAGGCAGCAUUCAACUCAUUUAUCCUUUGUAGAUGUCCAUAUUGUGUUUCAACGAUGAUGUCUCGGUCACAUCUAGAUACAUCAAAAUCUCCCACUACCAAAGCAGCAACCUCUGAAAUAGUAGGUAGGUUGUAUCUUCUUCCAUCAUAGUUCCGUUUUCCUAUCAAUCUGAGUCUAACAUUGGACUGACUAUCUUCCUGAAUUUUGUCUCUCACCAUUCUAAAUGACUUUGUCAAAACAUUUUGGUCAUCAAGCAUUUGUUUCAGAUCUUGAACAAUUUCAGCAUGAAGUUGGUUUAUUCUAUCACCACGACUGCAUAAACAUAGGUUUUUAUAAAAUUGGUCUAACUUAUGUUUUUGUUAGAUUAUUCAUGGAUAUAUAAAUUUCGAAUAAUUAAAUACUAACCCCAGUGCAUGAAUUCUAUUCUGAACUUCCUUUUCUGUGUCGUAUAUAUAUAAUUGGGCAAACUUGGGAGUGGAUCCUUCAGGAGGCAAUAAACUCCCAAUUUGAUGAUAGUUUUGUCCAGAUAAUUUGAAUGUUUUUGGCCACUUUGUUUGGUUGACAGAAGCAUCAACUUUUCCUCCCAUUGAGGUAAAAGAAAACAUCGAGUUAUA